rnacentral:rRNA from 1 species
ACAGAGGGUGCGAGCGUUAAUCGGAAUUACUGGGCGUAAAGCGCGCGUAGGCGGCUUUGCAAGUCGGGUGUGAAAUCCCCAGGCUUAACCUGGGAACUGCAUUCGAGACUGCAUUGCUAGAGUAUGGGAGAGGGAAGUGGAAUUUCCGGUGUAGCGGUGAAAUGCGUAGAUAUCGAGAGGAACACCUGCGGCGAAGGCGGGUUGCUGGGCUGACACUGACGCUGAGGCGCGAAAGCUAGGGGAGCGAACGGGA